UGAUGAGAUUGGAUUUUCGACAGAUGACCUCCAAGAACUUGUUCAUUCUCUAUCCUAUGUCUACCAGCGGAGCACAACUGCCAUCUCUGUAGUUGCGCCUAUAAUGUAUGCUCAUUUGGCAGCUGCACAGAUGGCAACUGCGAUGAAGUUUGAGGACAACUCCGAGACUUCAUCAAGCCAUGGUGGGAUUACAACAUCUGAAGCAGUACCUGUCUCUCCCAUGCCAAAGCUGAAUGUGGAUGUUGCAAGCUCUAUGUUCUUCUGUUGAAGCAUUGACUAUUUGACUCUAGAUCCCUUUCUGCCUAAGCAACAGAAUAAUAAUCGGUGUUGUGAUUUUCGUUUUAAAAAAUAUUUAGCAUCUCGACUCUGCCUUUGUUGGCGUUGGUUAAUCUCUGUUUUAAUAAAUUUGCUAUUUAUACCUUCAGUUUGCAUUUUAUCAUAGAAAAAUAAUUAUUCUACCAAAAUUUAAAGUAUGUCCUUUCUUAAUGAAACCUACAAAAGUUGUUUAUGAAAGGUCAUUUAUAGUAAAAUAAUGAAAUAUUUUGAUUUAAUAUUCCAAAAUUCUAAGUAUUCUGAAUACAAAUUUUACCUUUAAGAAUUUGUAAUAUUUCAUUUCACUGUAGAAUAAGACUGUAUGAGUUGCUACAUGAACCUGAGAGAUGUUAUAACCCACGUCCCACCACACAAUAAUUCUGAUAAGAGCACCAGCAUUGGAGGUUCGUGGGUGGAGUUCACACGUUUUCCUAAAAAAAAAAAUAUUGUAAUAUGCUACAGUAAUGAUCCUGUCUCGCCACGCUCCUUCCGUAUGAACCCGAGUCGUCACUGUACAGUGGGCCCCACGCCACGUGGCGGCCCGCUAUUGG